CAGGUUUGGUUCCUAAAAUUUGCAAUUAAGUUAACUUCAGUAUAUAUAUACAUAUCAUAAAUAUAGGAAAACAGGAGCUUUUGUUUCAGUUUUCCUGGUAAGGACAUGGCAAAUCAUGUACUGCUCAAUUCAUACAAUUGGGAGCAGGGCACGGGGGGGAAUAAUGAAAAGAAUCUAGGUAGUAAGACCACAGUUCCACAGAGAAGCGUUAUAAUUAAUUGAAGUCAUAGAUUCGGCAAGACUAAUUCUGUGCUACAUAAAUCUAGCGCAUCAAGCAACGGAAGCUAACACGGAUAUAAUAAAGAAAAAUUUAUGAUACAGAAAAACCUGUAGAUCGCACAACUUAUAACAUGUUUGUUCAUCUAGGGCCAUGGUAUCCUAUAAUCCCCAAUUGCAAAACAAACACCUAAUGGACAGAGUCUGUUGCCUAACUUAGCCAGGAUAGAACAUAUGUAUGAAGACAACAAGAUACAAUAUGUGCAUCCUGUUCAGAAUUCACUCUCUCAUCAUCAUGUGCAGGUUUCACGAAUUAUCAGAGUUUGAUGAAGCUAAAAGAAGUUGUCGCAGGCGUUUGGCAGGGCACAAUGAGCGACGGCGCAAGAGUUCGUAUGAUUCUUAAUGAAAAGAGAUGUAACGAAAUAAUUUGGUUUCUAGAGGAAGGCAAAUUCACUGAAUCUAAGAUUAAUGAGGACGGCCUUACAAUGAGCCCUACUCCUCCUGAGGAUUCAGUUUGCUCUCUAUCUUCUGUCAAUUGCUGGAUUUCUUCCCACAAAGAACCAGCUCAGUUUGUAUGAGUCAAAUAUUUUGUAACCGUCUCUUGAACUUGUGGUUUGAUUGGUAUUGACAACAUAUGUCAUGCCACCUAAGGAAGCUACCAAAAUAAUGUCAAACCUCCUUUGAUUAGCUUUAUUUAUCUUUACUUUGAUCUCUUAGACCUAUCAAUUACCUAACUUCUACAACCAAUGCAGCAAUGUAUAAGAUCUAGAUCUCAUCAUGAAUAUUUCAAAGCUUAAUUACAGAAAAUAAAUUGAGACAUAGAUCCUCAACAUCAAACCAAGGAAUUAAACUUAUUAAGAUUUCCCUGAGUGCUGUUAUGCGUCCAAAGGUGAUGUCUAAAAAUAAGAAAUCAUAACAAAGCAUACCUCAAUGUCUUGGUUAUCAUCCAGGGCAGAAACACUAGCAAUCACCGGUAACUGCCUGCAAUCACAAGUAUAUCUACUUCAAGCUAACACACCAUUAUGCAAAACUUAUACCAGGCUGCCUAUAGGCAAUAUAGAAUUAUAAUGGAAACAUAAUUUACAAUACAAGCACAAAAUUGUUACAUUUAACAGGCUAAUAUACUCUAGGAGUGACUGGUUCAUAUGAGCGCACAACCUAUGUAGGAGAUGCAACAGGGGCGGAUCUAGGAUUUGAGGUUAGGGGGGGCUGAAUUUAUUGAUCUAUGACGUCCGAAGACAUUUACACGGGGGUUUGGGGGCGGAGCCCCCUAAAGCAAUUUUUUUUAAGCAUUCCGUACACUUCAUUUUCAUGCAUUUUUUUAACAAUCACUUAAUAUAAUAGAUAAUUGUUUGCAAUUCAAUUAAUUCAACAUUAAGUAGAUUGAAAGCAUAUACAAAAACAUACUUUUAUGCAUUCUUUUAAAAAAAUAUAUUUCAUUUUCUAAACAAAUAAACUAAGUUUCAUUGAUAAUAAUUAGUAAUUUUACUUUUAACUUUAGAAUGGAUUCAAAUUCAACAUUAAAAAUUAAAUAAUAAAAAAAAGGAUAAAAAUAACAUAAAUAUAACAAAUCAAUGUACAAUGUCAAAUAAUUAAUAUGGAUAGUUGGAUAUACUAUAAAUAAUGUAUUAUAUUCUUUCUUCUAUUUCUUAUUUAUAUACACAUAUACAUAUAUAAAAUAAACUUAUAUAUCUAUAUUUAAAAAAAAAAAAAAAAAUAAACUCAAAAAUUGGGAGGGGGCUUCAGCCCCCCCUGAAUCCGCCACUGGGUAUAACAUUUCAGAAUGAAUCUGUUGAAACUUUGAGGUUGAUUGAUUGUUGGAUUUGUGGUGAGGAAGAACUUGAUGAAUGCUCUUGUAUGAACUUGGCUUUGCCAAAAUAACUUGGGUGGAAUAUGUGUGAAUGAGAGCUUGGCUGCAUUCUAUCUUGAAUUGGUAGAGGAGAUGCCUUAAGCAAAGGUGUGUUGGGAAUUGAAAGCCUGGGCGGCUAGUAUGUAAGGUAGGGUAUAGGUAGGGCGGCUAGUUGAUUGGACAAUUAAAACUUCAGGGUUAAAUUAUGUGAACUGUAAAAAUUCUUCAGGGUUCGCGAAUUUAAAGCUCGUGUAAAUGCUUGAAUGCUUAAUUUAAAUAAAUUUGAGACGCACAAAAAUUAAAAUAAAUGAAUUUUACAAAGUUAUUUUGUAAAUNUAUAUAACUAAAAAAAAAAAAAAACUCAAAGUGGAGGGGCUUCAGCCCCCCCCCCCCCCCCCCGAUCCGCCACUGGAUGCAACCAGUAUCAAAAUGACACAGUGAUAAGGAGUUCCUCACCCAGAUCUUUCAAAGAAAAUAUACUAGCAAUUAAUGUUCAUCAACGGAUGUAAAAAGUAUGGUAAAAGAAUCUAGUAAGUAAAAGUGAAAAUUCUGAAAUUCCAUGCUUAUAAAACCAUAUAGCAUAUACUGCAUUCUGCCCCGUUCUUACCACAGAUUAAUGCUGCUAAAAAUCACUGCAAUCCAUCUCACGGUAUUUUGAGAAUUUUAAACAUUGGUGUCUCUUGAUUGAUGGCCCCUGUUGACAUGCUUCUACUAAGCACGGCCCCAGCUAUAAACAUGGGUCAAGGACUGCAUUCCUGCUAAAAGUCUCAUGUAGGCCAACCCCAGUUGCAAUUAUUCAUGAAAAAAUGGCUGAAACAUAUUAUACCUCUUACAUUGUCCGUG
rnacentral:lncRNA from 1 species